rnacentral:rRNA from 1 species
CACGGGGGGAGCAAGCGUUGUUCGGAUUCAUUGGGCGUAAAGAGCUCGUAGGCCGCUCUGUAAGUCGGAAGUGAAAGACCACGGCUCAACCGUGGAAACGCUUUCGAAACUGUGGAGCUUGAGGCCGGGAGAGGAGAUUGGAAUUCCUGGUGUAGCGGUGAAAUGCGUAGAUAUCUGGAGGAACACCGAUGGCGAAGGCAGCCUUCUGGGCCACAACUGACGCUGAGGUACGAAAGCGUGGGUAGCAAACAGG